UACGUAGGGUGCGAGCGUUGUCCGGAAUUAUUGGGCGUAAAGGGCUCGUAGGCGGUUUGUCGCGUCGGGAGUGAAAUCCACUGGCUUAACUGGUGGCUUGCUUUCGAUACGGGCAGACUGGAGGUAUGCAGGGGAGAACGGAAUUCCUGGUGUAGCGGUGAAAUGCGCAGAUAUCAGGAGGAACACCGGUGGCGAAGGCGGUUCUCUGGGCAUGUCCUGACGCUGAGGAGCGAAAGUGGUGGGGAGCGAACAGG
rnacentral:rRNA from 1 species